rnacentral:tRNA from 1 species
GCCCGGUUAGCUCAGUUUGUAGAACAUUCGCCCUGUUAGCGAGGUGUCCCGUGUCCGAGUCCCGGACUGGCA